rnacentral:sRNA from 1 species
CAUUUAGAGGAAGUAAAAGUCGUAACAAGGUUUCCGUAGGUGAACCUGCGGAAGGAUCAUUAUCGUGCCAAAAACGGCACGAAGGGCUGUCGCUGACCUUUUAGGUCGUGCACGCCCAGGAGUGCCCUCCUCUAAUGAAAAUACCCAUCUCACCCUUUUGUGCAUCACCGCGUGGGCCUCCUUAGGGGGGCUCGCGUUUUACACAAAAACCCCAUAGUAAAAGUGUAGAAUGUCCUCCAUUUUUGCGAUGAUACGCAAUCAAAUACAACUUUCAACAACGGAUCUCUUGGCUCUCGCAUCGAUGAAGAACGCAGCGAAAUGCGAUACGUAAUGUGAAUUGCAGAAUUCAGUGAAUCAUCGAAUCUUUGAACGCACCUUGCGCCCCUUGGCAUUCCGAGGGGCACACCCGUUUGAGUGUCGUGAAAUCCUCAACCUUCUUGGUUUUUUUUCGCUCGGGGAGGCUUGGACUUUGGAGGUUUUUGCUGGGCCCUUUUGAAGCCAGCUCCUCUCAAAUGAAUUAGCGGGGUCCCCUUUGCCGAUCCUCGACGUGUGAUAAGAGUUUCCAGCCUUGGGCUUGGCUCUGUCCCUUUUGGGACCUGCUUCCAAUCGUCUCUCGACGAGACAAGUGGUCGACCCGGACCCUUGACCUCAAAUCGGGUGAGACUACCCGCUGAACUUAAGCAUAUCAAUAAGCGGAGGAAAAGAAACUAACGCGUCUU